UGACCCUAAUGUGAAUUAUUUUUUUUCACAGACCCCACCCAUAUUUAAUAUAUAUUUAUAUUUUUUAAAAACUUCAUUUUCAUUGCUUUGACUCAAGUCUUUUGCGACCAAUAGCUCACAUCUAUGCACCCCUCACUGUACAGCAUACCAGGAAUUGCAAUUGCAUUCCCAACAAUGCGUAAGCAUCCAACGUCAUGGGUAUCUGUAACGUGUGUGUGGCAACUUGUUAACGCUCGUUUGACCAUACACAUCAUCAUCAUAUCCCAACCAGCACACACACAGAGAUACACACCCUCUCCAUGACUGUGCAGGGAUAUGAUCACGUGGGAGGUCCCUUUAAGUUUCCACCGACGGAGCUGCGGUCAUCACAUGAUGAACAUGAUAUAAUGAAAGCGCAGGGGCAGAAAAGAGCGGAGCAGCACAACUGCGUAUGUCUUAACCACACUCAAAGCAGUAAAAGUAGCCUAUGUAGACUAUUAGGCAAUGAGGGUGAACAGGCCCUUGCAAAAAAAGUAAAGGUUAGACAAAUGAAGACGAGGGAAUUUGCACGUGGUAUCCCUGCUCAAGACCUUUUACGCAGCUUAUAAUAGCCUUGCAAUCCGAAAAGUGCGUGAUAGGUGGCUCACUCUGUUUAUCCUCUUUCGGUGCCCGUGCAAAUUAGAAAUGAGUUAUUUAAAGGAGGCCAUGACAAGGAAGCCAUGCUGCCAAGCCAUGUUCUGAUUUGCAUUUGUAGGAUGUCAGAGCAAACUUCGCUGGUAUACGGCUUCGACCGCAGGUGGAGAUUUCCCUGCAUGUUGCUAGGGGGACUAGGAAGGUACUUUUUCAGCAAGUGAACUGGGACGGCGCAGUGGAUUCUGCUGCGGGCUAUGACUGCUUGUUCCGAAGAAUGCGCUUGUUGCUAUGAGAAGGACUGUUGGUCAUUUGCCAUCUCGAUAAUUAGGUCCGCAUUCCUGUUUGCGUUGCUCGCAUAGUCUGUGUCACAGUGGCUAAUGCAGGCAAGUUUACCAACGACGACACACGAAACACGAGAUUAUUUAUGCUAUUAAGGCGCCUUUUUAAAAGCAUAGCCGAAAAUACACGCGUUUUCUUUUCGGAGCAUCACGCCCCCUAACUGCGUAGCUGGCCCAAGGAUGUGACAGGAACUAAAUAGAGUGCACAAUCGGCCAGAAAGACAUAAAAGCGAGCAGAAAACACAGCGCAAUCAACGAUUAUAUUAUGUCCAGAGUCGAAAACAACGCUGCAUUUUCAGUGGCAGAAAAGGGGGAAAGGGCGGAGGUGGGGGACAACUCUCCACUCCCGGAAUCAUGACAAGCCUAGCUCCUGGCAUUUUCGUCGAGGGCGCACUUAAAUAAGUUGCGCUGUUAUUUCAGAACCAUCGUCAUCGUUACACAAGAUAAAGCGGACAUGGACAACUCGCAUAUUAUCAGGAACAUGGAGGUCUACCGAAGAGAUUCUUCACUACCACUGUAUGCAGAGUGCCUUGGCCAGUGUAUGUUGACGUGAUGACCCGCCAGUCAGCAUCUCCUGCAUCAACUCCAUCAUCCUUCACCUGUGGUCGUCGUGGGAGACGGACGUGAUUGACAGCCGUAAGGUGCAUCGUGUAGCCCCCCCCUGUGGCCACAUGAUGGAAAUGGCAAAACUGAGAUGCGUGAGAUGGAAGUCAGAAUGGAUUUGGGUACGCAAGUAUGACGCUCGUUGCCAUGUGACCUCCAUCCUUGUCAUUCCCAUCAUCCCCGCGGUGUCACUUCCUGUGUCUGACAUGAGAGAGACGGCUAUCAGCACUUCCAUGGAAGGGAGAGGCUCUCUUUUUCCCUCUCUGCCUCUGGUGCGUCUCCAAAGGUCCAUCCCAGGAAGCUGUUACAGCUUUGCCUCCUCUGGUCCGUCCUCAUAAGUCUUCCCCAGGAAGCUGGUUUCAGAUGGUGGAUUAGAUGUGCAAAUCUCUGCUCUAGCACCAUUUGAAAUCAGUGUUCCUGUGGACAGGAAAGCAACUGUGGCACACAGGGUUCAACAAGAGUUCAACAAGAGGUCAACGAGAGGUCAACGAGGGGUCAAGGAUGAGCAUUCACCCACCCACACAUUUACAUGGAUAUUCACAACACAAAUAGAAUAGAAUGGAAUAUCUUUUUGUCAUUAUAAAAAAGUACAACAGAAUUGAGUCCUUGUUCAGUGAAGCAAUAAACAACGAAGAUACAACAUAUUAGAGAAGCACUCAAACGUGCCACACACACACCCACACUCAUCUACGUACAUAUCCCAACCAAGUACCAGUACAUACAAAUCUCAAAUCUCACGCAUCCACACAUCCAUUAACGUUAAACGUUAAAACGUAGCAUAAUGGAUACCAAAUACCAAUACCAGUGUGACGGUACUUGUCCACGCUAGUUCACCACUCUGGGCACCAACUUGUGACCUUCCAAUCGCAGCAACGAUACCAUCACAGGUACGACCCCACUGAUCUGAAGGGCUAGGCCCAUACCAUACCAAAGUACCACGCCAUAACGAAAUAUCUUCCUCUCAUCACAUCUGGAUCAUAUCCUACUUCCAGAUGCUUUUCUAAUUUAAAACAAACAACAUCAAGCAACAAACAGCAUCUGUUUAGAAAAAAAUCUGUUGAGAGUCUCAACAAAAAUGUCGAGCCGAGUACAGAAAGUACUUAAGUAAGGUAGCACUGAGAGUAAGUAGCCAGGUGUUCAGUUUUUUGGGUUAAGGUGAUCUGAAACAUCGACAGAAGCGCAAAGUUAAGUUAACUUCUAGUCAACCAUCUGUGUGUGGUCCUCCCUGCAGAGCAGAAUACCCAAUUAAAAAAGUUGCCACCCAGCAACCACAGCAGUAUCCAUAGUUCCUCAUAACUCCAGUGUAUCCGAGUGGCAAUGAUGUGACCAUGUUGCGUAAGUUGUUCCUUGCUCGGAGCAGGUCUCGAUAUAGUGUUGGCGAGAAUGCAGAGGAAUUUGUGUGUGUGUGUGUGUGUGUGUGUGUGUGUGUGUGUGUGUGUGUGUGUGUGUGUGUGUGUGUGUG